GGGGCAGUAGCUCAGUGGUGGAGCUCGCGACUCGUAUGCGGGAAGACCUGGGUUCGAUUCCCGGCUGCUUGC
rnacentral:tRNA from 1 species